AGGGAGGAGCCUCCAUAAAGGCGCCCGCCAGCACCGCCUUCCUCGCAGUAGAAUGAGCUCCCAGAAAUGGCUACUUCCAGUGUCGGGGUCCGCAGAGAAAGCCGCAGCCGCUCUUUACCUCUCCAGGAGACUGUCCAAGAGCAGCAGGAGACCCUGCCAUGGAGAAUGUGAAUUUUCAUCCUUGAAAACAUCCAUCAGAUGCUCAAAGUCCUGGGUUGGGAAGGAGGAGGCUCUAGGCAACCUCUGAGGCCCUUCUGAUACUAAGAUGACUGCAGUCCAACUUCUCUGGAUGGUGCCCACUUUUCUAAUGGUUGGAGACCCAGUAAGGACGGUCCGAACUGAUAAACUGGAGCAUCAUGGAUGCAGCCCCCAAUUCCCCAGAGAUCUGUGAAGCAUGAGGGUGUGCGAUUUUCUUUGCAGGAUAUUUUCCUAUUCCGUGUUGUUUACAGAAUGUACUCUGGAGUCUAGAGUCCCUUCGGGAACACUAUGCUCUGACAGGGCCCCUCCUUUUCUCUUUCCCUCCUUCCCUCUUUGUCUGCUUUUACCUCGUCCUCCCUCUCUUACAAGGGUAUUCAGUGGAAACUCCAGGGAUUGAGUCCUUCUGUCAAACAGACGUCAACAUUGGAAACGUCAGAAGUACACAUUCUGUAUGUCUUCCAGACUUGGAAAGAACUGGGACCAAUUAAAAGUGAACUUUUAAGAGCAGCGAACAUCUUGCAUGCCAGGUUUCAGCUGAAUGUCACUCCAAUUGCCUGAAUUAUAACUAUCAGAAAAAAAUGCCUUCUAAUUAUGGAAAUGCCAUUAGGAGGAGUUCCUUCUGCCUGGAAACUUAAAAAAUGACUACCGCCCCUACUUCUACUCCAUCUCUUCACACGAUUGCUGUAGUUCAGAGGGAAAGAGGGAAGCUCACUGUAUUGAAAAGAGAAUUUGUACCAUAUGGAAUCUGAAUGUGGAUUCUAACUCCAUCAAUUAUUGCCUCUCCGACCUUGGAGAAAACAGUUGACCUCUCUGAUCCUCCAUUUCCCCAUUUAUAAAAACAAGGAUAAUAAUACCUACUCCAUGAAAGUGUUGUCAAGAUUAAAUGAGAUGGUGUACAUGAUAUAUAUAGCAUCUAGCUUGCACGUAAGGGAUUGCAAAAUUGAGUGGGUGGAGAAGGAGGGACCAAGAUAAUUGUCGGUAAGAAUGAAGAGAGAGCUUUGACGCAAAUGAUAACUGACACAGUUACUCAUUUAAGCAGUUUUUCACUCUGGUGAUCUCUACACAUUCAUUUAGUUAUGGAGAGUCACACGCUCAUUUAGAUAUUGCUCUUUGGUGCCUUCGGGCCUGGUUGGCCAAUUCCACGCAGGAGGAGAUGAAGAUAUGUCGAACUUCAUCUUUCCAUAGAAUCUUGGCUCUGGGAGGAUUUCUAUUCUCUGAUCUUGCUGAUACCUGAUUUGAUCUCAUGAAGGUACUUCUCUGCCAUGGCAGAGCAUUCUCUUCCCCCUCCAUCUUUCACCCAAAUGCUGGACAGAGUCUGGAUCUGCCUUUUCCAGCAGGUGGACCUUAGAGCCUGACAACUGGGAAAAAGUAGAUUUAUUGCAGUGUGUCCCCAGAUCCAUAUACUUACCAAACAUUGCUUAUAGACAGAUAUGUCUUGAAAUUAUAUAUUCACAUA